AACGAACGCUGGCGGCAGGCUUAACACAUGCAAGUCGAACGCCCCGCAAGGGGAGUGGCAGACGGGUGAGUAACGCGUGGGAAUCUACCGUACCUACGGAAUAACGCAUGGAAACGUGUGCUAAUACCGUAUACGCCUACGGGGAAGAUUAUCGGGUAUGAUGAGCCCGCGUUGGAUUAGCUAGUUGGUGGGGUAAAGGCCUACCAAGGCGACGAUCCAUAGCUGGUCUGAGAGGAUGAUCAGCCACAUUGGGACUGAGACACGGCCCAAACUCCUACGGGAGGCAGCAGUGGGGAAUAUUGGACAAUGGGCGCAAGCCUGAUCCAGCCAUGCCGCGUGAGUGAUGAAGGCCUUAGGGUUGUAAAGCUCUUUUACCCGAGAUGAUAAUGACAGUAUCGGGAGAAUAAAGCUCCGGGCUAAACUUCCGUGGUCCCAGCAGCCGCGGUAAAGUGACUACU
rnacentral:rRNA from 1 species